GAAUUUUGGACAAUGGGCGAAAGCCUGAUCCAGCAAUGCCGCGUGCAGGAUUAAGGCCUUCGUGUUGUAAACUGAUUUUGUACGGAACGAAAAGCUUUGGGUUAAUACCCUGGAGUCAUGACGGCACCGGAGGAAUAAGCACCGGCUAACUACGUGCAAGCAGUCGAGGUAAUACGUAGGGUGCAAGCGUUAAUCGGAAUUACUGGGCGUAAAGCGUGCGCAGGCGGUUUUGUAAGACAGAGGUGAAAUCUCCGGGCUCAACCUGGGAACUGCCUUUGUGACUGCAAGGAUAGAGGACGGCAGAGGGGGGUGGAAUUCCGCGUGUAGCAGUGAAAUGCGUAGAUAUGCGGAGGAACACCGAUGGCGAAGGCAACCCCCUGGGCCUGUACUGACGCUCAUGCACGAAAGCGUGGGGAGCAAACA
rnacentral:rRNA from 1 species